rnacentral:rRNA from 1 species
UACGUAGGGUGCGAGCGUUGUCCGGAAUUAUUGGGCGUAAAGAGCUUGUAGGCGGUCUGUCGCGUCUGCUGUGAAAAUCCGGGGCUCAACCCCGGACUUGCAGUGGGUACGGGCAGACUAGAGUGUGGUAGGGGAGACUGGAAUUCCUGGUGUAGCGGUGGAAUGCGCAGAUAUCAGGAGGAACACCGAUGGCGAAGGCAGUUCUCUGGGCCGUAACUGACGCUGAGGAGCGAAAGCGUGGGGAGCGAACAGG